rnacentral:rRNA from 1 species
UGAGCGGCGGACGGGUUAGUAACGCGUGGGAAUAUACCCGACACUAAGGAAUAGCCUCUGGAAACGGAGAGUAAUACCUUAUACGCCCUUCGGGGGAAAGAUUUAUCGGUGACGGAUUAGCCCGCGUUAGAUUAGAUAGUUGGUGGGGUAAUGGCCUACCAAGUCUACGAUCUAUAGCUGGUUUUAGAGGAUGAUCAGCAACACUGGGACUGAGACACGGCCCAGACUCCUACGGGAGGCAGCAGUGGGGAAUCUUGGACAAUGGGCGCAAGCCUGAUCCAGCCAUGCCGCGUGAGUGAUGAAGGCCUUAGGGUCGUAAAGCUCUUUCGCCAGAGAUGAUAAUGACAGUAUCUGGUAAAGAAACCCCGGCUAACUCCGUGCCAGCAGCCGCGGUAAUACGGAGGGGGUUAGCGUUGUUCGGAAUUACUGGGCGUAAAGCGCGCGUAGGCGGAUUAGUCAGUUAGAGGUGAAAUCCCGGGGCUCAACCCCGGAACUGCCUUUAAUACUGCUAGUCUUGAGUUCGAGAGAGGUGAGUGGAAUUCCGAGUGUAGAGGUGAAAUUCGUAGAUAUUCGGAGGAACACCAGUGGCGAAGGCGGCUCACUGGCUCGAUACUGACGCUGAGGUGCGAAAGUGUGGGGAGCAAACAGGAUUAGAUACCCUGGUAGUCCACACCGUAAACGAUGAAUGCCAGUCGUCGGGUAGCAUGCUAUUCGGUGA